CCUAAUACAUGCAAGUCGAACGAACUUCCGUUAAUUGAUUAUGACGUACUUGUACUGAUUGAGAUUUUAACACGAAGUGAGUGGCGAACGGGUGAGUAACACGUGGGUAACCUGCCCAGAAGUAGGGGAUAACACCUGGAAACAGAUGCUAAUACCGUAUAACAGAGAAAACCGCAUGGUUUUCUUUUAAAAGAUGGCUCUGCUAUCACUUCUGGAUGGACCCGCGGCGUAUUAGCUAGUUGGUGAGGUAAAGGCUCACCAAGGCAGUGAUACGUAGCCGACCUGAGAGGGUAAUCGGCCACAUUGGGACUGAGACACGGCCCAGACUCCUACGGGAGGCAGCAGUAGGGAAUCUUCCACAAUGGACGCAAGUCUGAUGGAGCAACGCCGCGUGAGUGAAGAAGGGUUUCGGCUCGUAAAGCUCUGUUGUUAAAGAAGAACGUGGGUAAGAGUAACUGUUUACCCAGUGACGGUAUUUAACCAGAAAGCCACGGCUAACUACGUGCCAGCAGCCGCGGUAAUACGUAGGUGGCAAGCGUUAUCCGGAUUUAUUGGGCGUAAAGCGAGCGCAGGCGGUCUUUUAAGUCUAAUGUGAAAGCCUUCGGCUCAACCGAAGAAGUGCAUUGGAAACUGGGAGACUUGAGUGCAGAAGAGGACAGUGGAACUCCAUGUGUAGCGGUGAAAUGCGUAGAUAUAUGGAAGAACACCAGUGGCGAAGGCGGCUGUCUGGUCUGCAACUGACGCUGAGGCUCGAAAGCAUGGGUAGCGAACAGGAUUAGAUACCCUGGUAGUCCAUGCCGUAAACGAUGAUUACUAAGUGUUGGAGGGUUUCCGCCCUUCAGUGCUGCAGCUAACGCAUUAAGUAAUCCGCCUGGGGAGUACGACCGCAAGGUUGAAACUCAAAAGAAUUGACGGGGGCCCGCACAAGCGGUGGAGCAUGUGGUUUAAUUCGAAGCUACGCGAAGAACCUUACCAGGUCUUGACAUCUUCUGACAGUCUAAGAGAUUAGAGGUUCCCUUCGGGGACAGAAUGACAGGUGGUGCAUGGUUGUCGUCAGCUCGUGUCGUGAGAUGUUGGGUUAAGUCCCGCAACGAGCGCAACCCUUAUUACUAGUUGCCAGCAUUAAGUUGGGCACUCUAGUGAGACUGCCGGUGACAAACCGGAGGAAGGUGGGGACGACGUCAAAUCAUCAUGCCCCUUAUGACCUGGGCUACACACGUGCUACAAUGGAUGGUACAACGAGUCGCGAGACCGCGAGGUUAAGCUAAUCUCUUAAAACCAUUCUCAGUUCGGACUGUAGGCUGCAACUCGCCUACACGAAGUCGGAAUCGCUAGUAAUCGCGGAUCAGCAUGCCGCGGUGAAUACGUUCCCGGGCCUUGUACACACCG
rnacentral:rRNA from 1 species